rnacentral:rRNA from 1 species
GACGAACGCUGGCGGCGUGCCUAAUACAUGCAAGUCGAACGAACCGCGACUAGGUGCUUGCACUUGGUCAAGGUGAGUGGCGAACGAGUGAGUAACACGUGGGUAACCUACCUCAUAGUGGGGGAUAACAGUCGGAAACCACUGCUAAUACCGCAUAGGACAUAGGAUCACAUGAUUCUGUGAGGAAAGGUGGCGCAAGCUAUCGCUAAGAGAUGGACCCGCGGUGCAUUAGCUAGUUGGUAGGGUAAAGGCCUACCAAGGCGAUGAUGCAUAGCCGACCUGAGAGGGUGAUCGGCCACAUUGGGACUGAGACACGGCCCAAACUCCUACGGGAGGCAGCAGUAGGGAAUCUUCCGCAAUGGACGCAAGUCUGACGGAGCAACGCCGCGUGAGUGAAGAAGGUCUUCGGAUCGUAAAGCUCUGUUGUUAGAGAAGAACAGCGCAUAGAGUAACUGUUAUGCGUGUGACGGUAUCUAACCAGAAAGCCACGGCUAACUACGUG